rnacentral:lncRNA from 1 species
GGGACGGGGGCGGCGGCGCAGCGGCGGCGGGGGGCGGUCGUCGACGGCAGCGUGGUGGACCAGGCGGUGGCGUACACGCUCAUGGUCGCCGCGCUCGCCGUCACCUACCUCGUGCACUGAGCUGCUAGCUAGCUAGAGGCAGAGGGCUCGUGUUAUGCCAACGGCUGAUGUGAUUGAUCGAUCGAUCCCCUCUCCUGCUGUUUUGUGUACUUCAUUUGUUUUACUGGAUCACACUACUUUGUAUAGUCCAGGCGUUUACCGGUUCGUGAUUUCACGUACACUCCGUGUAUUCGGUCGAAUUAACACGAUUUUCACCGUAUUAUUUUAGCAAAUCUCAUGGGAAAUUUCAAUCCAUCCAUGACCAUGCUUCCUCCAUCCCUAUUCUAAGUCUUAUCAACAAUAUAAUUCCCAUCAAUUAAUUAAAAUCCUGCUCAAAUUUAUUCACGUCCUACUCCCACCUAUCCUAUCCUAGCGUACUUAUUUAUUUCUCAUUUAUCAAUUAAUAGGCAACACCAUAAUUAUCUCCUUACCCACUGUUGGGGGUUAAGCUGCCUAACUAUAAGGCGUGCCCGAGCCCACAAGAUAUCGGCAAUGUCCAGGCCGCGGCUCAUGUCCCC